UUGACCUCAAAUCAGGUAGGACUACCCGCUGAACUUAAGCAUAUCAAUAAGCGGAGGAAAAGAAACUAACAAGGAUUCCCCUAGUAACUGCGAGUGAAGAGGGAAAAGCUCAAAUUUAAAAUCUGGCAGUCUCCGAUUGUCCGAGUUGUAAUUUAGAGAAGUGUUACCCGUGUUGGGCCGUGUAUAAGUCUCCUGGAAUGGAGCGUCAUAGAGGGUGAGAAUCCCGUCUUUGACACGGACUUCCAAUGCAUUGUGGUACGCUCUCAAAGAGUCGAGUUGUUUGGGAAUGCAGCUCUAAAUGGGUGGUAAAUUCCAUCUAAAGCUAAAUAUUGGGGAGAGACCGAUAGCGAACAAGUACCGUGAGGGAAAGAUGAAAAGAACUUUGGAAAGAGAGUUAAACAGUACGUGAAAUUGCUAAAAGGGAAACGCUUGAAGUCAGUCGCGUUAGCAGUUGCUC
rnacentral:rRNA from 1 species